GACGAACGCUGGCGGCGUGCUUAACACAUGCAAGUCGAACGGUGAAGCGCCUUCCUUUUUGGUGGGUGUGGAUGAGUGGCGAACGGGUGAGUAACACGUGAGUAACCUGCCCCCUUCUUCUGGAUAACCGCAUGAAAGUGUGGCUAAUACGGGAUAUUCUGGGUCUGUCGCAUGAUGGGUCUGGGAAAGAUAUUGUUUCGGUGGGGGAUGGGCUCGCGGCCUAUCAGCUUGUUGGUGGGGUGAUGGCCUACCAAGGCGGUGACGGGUAGCCGGCCUGAGAGGGUGGACGGUCACACUGGGACUGAGACACGGCGCAGACUCGUACGGGAGGCAGCAGUGGGGAAUAUUGCACAAUGGGCGCAAGGCUGAUGCAGCGACGCCGCGUGAGGGAUGGAGGCCUUCGGGUUGUGAACCUCUUUCGCCAGUGAAGCAGGCCUGCCUCGUUUGUGGGUGGGUUGACGGUAGCUGGAUAAGAAGCGCCGGCUAACUACGUG
rnacentral:rRNA from 1 species